rnacentral:tRNA from 1 species
CAGUGAUUAGCGCGGCCUGGUAGCGUAUCCUGACUUGGAAAGCAGAGGGUCAGAGGUUCGAAUCCUCUAUCACCGACCA